rnacentral:rRNA from 1 species
GUAGGUGGCAAGCGUUGUCCGGAAUUAUUGGGCGUAAAGCGCGCGCAGGCGGUUCUUUAAGUCUGAUGUGAAAGCCCACGGCUCAACCGUGGAGGGUCAUUGGAAACUGGAGAACUUGAGUACAGAAGAGGAAAGCGGAAUUCCACGUGUAGCGGUGAAAUGCGCAGAGAUGUGGAGGAACACUAGUGGCGAAGGCGGCUUUCUGGUCUGUAACUGACGCCGAGGCGCGAAAGCGUGGGGAGCAAACAGGAUUAGAUACCCUGGUAGUCCACGCCGUAAACGAUGAGUGCUAAGUGUUAGGGGGGUUUCCGCCCCCCUUAGUGCUGCAGCUAACGCAUUAAGCACUCCGCCUGGGAGUACGGCCGCAAGGCUG